CCUACUCUCGUAGUCCAGGGUCAAACAACUAGGCCAAAUUCACUUUGGACCAAACAUUAUUCACAUUCUUCCAUCAUGAGGAGAUUUGUUCGUUGCAAUAAGAAAACGACGAUUUAAAACACUGAACGUAACUACUUAUGUCAUCACGAUUAAGUAAUGCUCGACUUUUAUGGAUUCCACCAUUUGUAAUUGUCGACCAACAACUCUCAGCUAUAAAAACCAAGCAACCACCACCUCCACUUUAAAAAAAGAUUUAAAUAGUUUUAACAAUGUACAAUAUAUCUAACCCCUAACCUCCUUCUUUUCUCAAACUCUGAUUUGAGCGUUGGAGUGCAUGCAAGUACACCAUCGCCCGUUGUUCCAACCAUCUACCACAAAUUCCUUUGAAAUUAUUUUUAAAUGAUAAAUAAACUCUU
rnacentral:lncRNA from 1 species